AUUGAACGCUGGCGGCAUGCCUUACACAUGCAAGUCGAACGGCAGCACGGGAGCAAUCCUGGUGGCGAGUGGCGAACGGGUGAGUAAAGUAUCGGAACGUGCCCAGUCGUGGGGGAUAACGUAGCGAAAGUUACGCUAAUACCGCAUACGAUCUAUGGAUGAAAGCGGGGGAUCGCAAGACCUCGCGCGAUUGGAGCGGCCGAUAUCAGAUUAGGUAGUUGGUGGGGUAAAGGCUCACCAAGCCGACGAUCUGUAGCUGUCUGAGAGGACGACCAGCCACACUGGGACUGAGACACGGCCCAGACUCCUACGGGAGGCAGCAGUGGGGAAUUUUGGACAAUGGGCGAAAGCCUGAUCCAGCCAUGCCGCGUGCAGGAUGAAGGCCUUCGGGUUGUAAACUGCUUUUGUACGGAACGAAAGGGUUUGGCCUAAUAAGCUGAGCUCAUGACGGUACCGUAAGAAUAAGCACCGGCUAACUACGUGCCAGCAGCCGCGGUAA
rnacentral:rRNA from 1 species